rnacentral:rRNA from 1 species
UACGUAGGGUGCGAGCGUUAAUCGGAAUUACUGGGCGUAAAGCGUGCGCAGGCGGUUUUGUAAGUCAGAUGUGAAAUCCCCGGGCUUAACCUGGGAACUGCGUUUGAAACUACAAGGCUAGAGUGUGGCAGAGGGGGGUGGAAUUCCGACGGUGUAGCAGUGAAAUGCGUAGAGAUGUGGAGGAACACCGAUGGCGAAGGCAGCCCCCUGGGUUAACAC